rnacentral:rRNA from 1 species
GUGUCAGCCGCCGCGGUAAUACGUAGGUGGCAAGCGUUGUCCGGAAUUAUUGGGCGUAAAGGGCGCGUAGGCGGUACCCUAAGUCAGAUGUGAAAACCCGAGGCUUAACUUCGGAGGUGCAUUUGAAACUGGGGAACUAGAGUGCAGGAGAGGUAAGUGGAAUUCCUAGUGUAGCUGUGAAAUGCGUAGAUAUUAGGAGGAACACCAGUGGCGAAGGCGACUUACUGGACUGUAACUGACGCUGAGGCGCGUAAGCGUGGGGAGCAAACAGGAUUAGAUACCCUUGUAGUCC